UGGCCUAAACUGAAUUCGUCGAGU
rnacentral:siRNA from 1 species